UACGUAGGGGGCGAGCGUUGUCCGGCAUUAUUGGGCGUAAAGAGCUCGUAGGCGGCUUGGCAAGUCGGAUGUGAAAACUCCAGGCUCAACCUGGAGCCGCCAUUCGAUACUGCUAUGGCUAGAGUCCGGUAGGGGAGUGUGGAAUUCCCGGUGUAGCGGUGAAAUGCGCAGAUAUCGGGAGGAACACCGGUGGCGAAGGCGGUUCUCUGGGCAUUACCUGACGCUGAGGAGCGAAAGUGUGGGGAGCGAACAGG
rnacentral:rRNA from 1 species